UACAGGGGGGGCAAGCGUUGUUCGGAAUUACUGGGCGUAAAGGGUCUGUAGGUGGCCAACUAAGUCAGACGUGAAAUCCCUCAGCUUAACUGGGGAACUGCGUCUGAUACUGGAUGGCUUGAGUGUGGGAGAGGAAUGCGGAAUUCCAGGUGUAGCGGUGAAAUGCGUAGAUAUCUGGAGGAACACCGGUGGCGAAGGCGGCAUUCUGGACCAUAACUGACACUGAGAGACGAAAGCCAGGGGAGCAAACGGG
rnacentral:rRNA from 3 species